AGUGAACGCUGGCGGUAGGCCUAACACAUGCAAGUCGAACGGCAGCACAGUAAGAGCUUGCUCUUACGGGUGGCGAGUGGCGGACGGGUGAGGAAUACAUCGGAAUCUACUUUUUCGUGGGGGAUAACGAAGGGAAACUUACGCUAAUACCGCAUACGACCUACUGGUGAAAGCAGGGGAUCUUCGGACCUUGCGCGAGUGAAUGAGCCGAUGUCGGAUUAGCUAGUUGGCGGGGUAAAGGCCCACCAGGGCGACGAUCCAUAGCUGGUCUGAGAGGGUGAUCACCCACACUGGAACUGAGCCACGGUCCAGACUCCUACGGGAGGCAGCAGUGGGGAAUAUUGGACAAAGGGGGCAAGCCUGAUCCAGCCAUACCGCGUGGGUGAAGAAGGCCUUCGGGUUGUAAAGCCCUUUUGUUGGGAAAGAAAAGCAGCAGGUUAAUACCCCGCUGUUCUGACGGUACCCAAAGAAUAAGCACCGGCUAACUUCGUG
rnacentral:rRNA from 1 species